GCGCGCGAGGUGGAGAAGCAGGGCACGUGCAUUCAUUUCCAGCUCGGUUCCCGGCGUCCGGCCGGCUGGCUGGCACGCACCGCCCCGGCCUUUCCUGGCUAGUGUGUCGCUCGAUCCGGCCGUGCGCCGGCGGCCGGCCCAUGCAUGCAUGUGCCUUUCUUCUCCACCGUGCACACCU
rnacentral:pre_miRNA from 1 species